GUACUCACUUCGAUGGUACAUAUACUAGAAUUGGAAUGAUACAAAGAAGAUUAGCACUGCAUUUGAAUAAGGAUAACGCGCAAAAUCGUGAGGCGUUCCAUAAUUUU
rfam:Schistosoma curassoni strain Dakar, Senegal genome assembly, scaffold: SCTD_scaffold0013971